UGAUUUCAUGAGACUUUUUUAGGUUAUGAUGAAGCAGAACUUUGUCCAUUCUGGGGUGAGCUAUUGUGAGUGCCAAGGUCAUGAUGUCACUUCCUGUCUAACCUCCGUUUCACUAGCUUCUAGAACUCAAUGCCAUCGGUCAUUCAGCAUUUUAUGGUAAAGACUUGAUUUAAGUUUAAGCUCAGGGUAAAUCUCCAGGAAAUGAAUGUAUGUCAAUGUAAUGUAAUGCGUGUGUGAGUCAUCUUGGCAAAAUAUGGUGCUAGAGACACGCUCUGUAGCAGUAACUAUACACAGUACUUGCCCCACCUGCUGUUAGCUGUUUACUGGGGUACUAAAUCAAAAAGGAAGUUGAGUCACUUUCUCAUAGAUUUCAAUAGAAUUAUUUCUGCAACCAGAGGAGGCGCCAUCGUUCAUUUUCCUUAUUGACACCACGUGCUUUUCCUGCUUUGACGUCGAGGGCCCCUCUGACACAGGAGCCUCAGAGGGCAUCUCCGUGACAUCGAUCGCUUUAUCAGGUUCACUUCUUUGGCACAGCUUUUUGGCAGCGUCACUGCAAGAGGAGACCAACAUCGUACAAAGCGGCAUUCAGUGCACAGACAGCAGGACGUCACAUGUAGUGUUGCAGGAGACCAGAACAAGGCCAUUCAUAAAGCACAUGAAAGGGAUUACGAGCGGCUUUACAAUCAAUGCUUAAUAAAACCAGAUGUAAGUCAACUAAAGGACAUUUGGAAUGUUUCCCUUCUAUGAACAGAGGACGCGUCCCAUUUUUGCGGGGACUGGUGGUCACAUUUUCAGGGGGGGUGACCAGCUCGUCAGAUGCAGCAUAUUUUAUACAUCCAGCAAGCAAUCAUUGUGUGCACUCAUGCAGCAUGACACCCAGUGCACGGCACAGUCCCCUCAAGAAAAUCAUGAGGGCUGCUGUUCAACUUAUAUAGGGGGAAAGCAUGUGUUUAAAGAGAAUCAUUUCCCUAUCCUUUUUUUUAAUUACAAGCAAACUGUCAUUUUAUCACACUGACAAAUUGUGUCAGUGUUUUAAAGAAGCGUCUUUAACAGCUCUUUCUCAUCUGCAGUAGCGGAAACGUCGAGCGCGGAUCCAUUUCAGCCGAAGGUUCCGCUCUCUGGAAGCCGUCCAAUCCCCCGUCAGUCUGACUAAGCUGCAGAGGGUUAGAUUGGAGUGGGGAUGUGCUCACCAGCUGUGAGAUUAGGGGGAACUGAUCGAUGGCCUCUGUGAUUGGCCCUCGCCGGCGUCACAGCGGCAUCCAAUCCCCUUGGUUCGGAUGGUUUUCCUCGACCCAGCCAAAACCAAUUCUCCCUCCGCCAAGGGGAGGGGGGGCGAAUAAGAUCACUGACCUGAAGCUGCGAGGCCACGCUUGCAGGUUCUGUCCCCCUCCUUCCUCUGACCAGAAAGAGACAAACAGGGAGGAAGAGGAGGAGGCGGGGAGGAAGAUGAAGGGUUGCUUCCGAAAGGACUCCUGUAGAGACGACGACGAUGCUGAUGAACACGAGGAGGCUGCAGUGCUUCCUGUCUGCUCUUUGCCGAAUGAACACCCGCACUUGAAGUGUGAAAGAGGCACCGAGCAAUCAGGAGAUUUGAUCAGAAUCAUAAAAUGAAGUUAACUUGCAGAAAGCUGCAGGAUUUCAUGUUGUCAUCCGGCACUUCGGCGGGUUUUGUCUGAUCAGAAUGGAAUCGAUUUGAAAUGCGUACAAGUAGUCAUUGAUGUUCACCAAAGAUUAAAGGCAACAGGCACCUAAUAUCAUGAACAACUCAACUGUCACUUUACUGUCAGACCGACAUGGGAGAGAGGAUCAGUUUACAU
ensembl:lncRNA